AUUGCCUCUGAGCCCCAUUUAAGCUCAGACCUGGGCAUGUUCCCCUUUCUUAAGCUUCCUUGGAGCCGGUUCUUACUCUGGCUAUGGCUGCUGUUGAUCCAGACCUCAGUCUGCAGACUGGCUUCCCACCUUUACAUUAGACCUGCAUCAUCCUGGGAACUUUGCUUGAUCACCUGUACUUCCAGUAGGUCCUGGCCAUGAUCUCUGGACCUGCCUUGCCCAGUACAGAACUAGACCAGGAGGAGGAGAGUUUCCUACAGACCUGCCUCCAGCGCGAAGCAAAGCCGGUGUUUCAAAGGGAGCAGACUGCUUAUGGUCCGCACACGGAGCUGUCGCUGAGUCGAGAGGAAGCUAUUCUUCCAAAGGAGGUGCUAAUCUAGCGGCAUGCGGGUUGCCCUCUGUAUCUGGAGCUUCCCGAGGCAGCGAGGGCUUCACCGCUGGGUGUGAGCGGCUGCCGGGCGCUGCCCGCUCCGCUGCCGGCUGCGCUCAGUCCCCGUCCCGGCCGCUCCCCGCGCUUACCUAUGACUGCCGCCCUGCGCACGGGCUGCGGGGCCGCGCUGCUCCAGGAGGCUCCGCCGGGAAUCGCCCACCUGCUCACGGCUCUCUCCGCGAAGAACGCGUACUGCAGCGCCCGGGCCUGCUCCGAGCUCAGCAGCCGCUGGAACAGCUCCCGUUCUCGCCGCACCCCCUCGGCAAAGGGCCUCUCUGUGGCGGCUUUCACGGCCUGGAAGCAGAGCUCCGGAGCCAGGAACCCCCGCGCCUGCUUCUUCACCUUCGCGAGAGCUUCGCGCAGGAACGCGUCCGUGUUGGGCAGUUUGGGAACCGGCUUAAGGCUGAGCCUGCGGGGGCCCAGGGGCUGACCUGGGGGGAGAGAAAUGGACUUGCAGGACAAAGCAUCCACAUCUUUUCAGAUGUAGUCUUUCCGGAUUUCCAGACCCUUUUCUACAGGCUGGGAAGGCAGUCUGCCUCUUCUUCUGCAACUCCCACUGCGUUAGGGCUGGCAUGGUACAGUGAGCUGGGUCUAGAACUAAAGCUUCUGACAUUUCUCCUUAUUUCUGCUUGCUCUGACAAUUAGGAUUUUUCAAGUCCCUUCUCAGACUUCAAAAAAAGUAAGACUUUAUUUUCAAAGAAGUAAUUCUCUCCUUCCUUUUCUCAGCUUCAGGGUGCCCUGAUUUUCCAGUUCUCUCCCUCUACAGUCCCAACUGCCACAUUCAUAUGGCUCUUUCUAUAGGCUUCAGUAAUGAAGCUUUCCUCCAGUAUUGUUUAGUAUUCAGGACCCAGCUGACACUAGCCAGAGGCAUUGCAGCCACAGGCCCGACCCAGACAUUGACAAGAGUGGAAAACACAUCCUGACUUCUUCCCUGACUGAAGGAGCCCCUCAAGUCACUUUGGGACUAAGCAAAAGGAGAAUCUCACUCAGUAUGAGUUGGGCAGCAAAUGAAUAACAAGCAAGAGUUCAUGUUUGUGUCAGCAAGGGAUGAAUCAAGCAUCCACACAAAUAUGUGAAGUUCAUUACAGACAGAGGUUGCUAUGGUGAUACCUAGAGAGGACUUUAAUUCAGAGAACUUAGUUACGUUUCAGAUGCCAAAAUGCUCUGUCCUCUUCAUAAGUGCAGACCUGGCCAUACUCAGCUGUUCCUCUGCUCUUAAUGGCAGCUUAUUCAGUAAAGACUGGGGAGGAACAAGAUCAGCAACUCGGGAUGUGUCCCCUCGAUACUGCAACAUUCUCACAAAGACCCUGCUGUCAUCACAGCCAUAGCCAGAUCAUUAAUUGCAGCAUGGCACUGCAGGGAUUGCUAGUGCUGCUCCCAGAAGCAGUCAGGACUGCCACCAAAGUCAGUGGUGGGCUGAGAACCUUAUGCUGGAGCUCUCUGGGGGCAGAGUCUCAUUGCUCUGGCCUCUUAGAUGCACUCUGCCAUGGGGGCACACUUCCUUCCAAGGUGACGUAUUGCAUCUGGCUCCUCUUUCUCGUGUUGGCUGAGCUGGGGAAGUGCCAAUGCACCAGCAGAAGACUCAGGAGAUCCUGCAAGGGAUGCUGAAGAGCAGGAGUAAAGGCAGCGCUGCUGGCAUAAUUGCCUGAGUAACAGGUCCUGACUCUAGAUCUUCCUCUAAGACUGAGCAUUGCUUACAGAAAUACAAGUUUCCAGGAUGAGUUAUCAUACUGAUUUCUUGUAAUAAAGGUCUUCAGAGCUCAGGUUUUUUAAUUAAGUCUCUUAGUGAGCACAAAAAGAUGAACACUCACUGUGUAAGUAGCUUCCCUUGUAAUCACAGUUCAUAAAAAUGUUUUCACAUUGUCAGUGGAUAUAAUUUGUAUCAGCCAGUAUUGCAGGAUUUAGCCAGGAUAAUGUUCUUUUAUUUUGGAAUAAUUUUUUCCUCUAAGUUUUUAACCCAGAAAUGCUCUCUAUCUGCAGUUCUUUAUUCAGGACUUAAAUAGUGGGUAAUAGUCCAUCACAAGAGGAAAGCUCAGGCUUGUCCCAGAAAGCUGAUCUGAUGGCUGGAAGAUUGGGGCAGAUCAAGGGACCUCAUAUGAUAUCCAGUGGAAAAGGCUGGUAAAAAAGAAAUACCAUUGGGAGCCUUUAAGCUUGGUCUUCAGACAGCAAAUUGUACUCUAAGUACAAAUACUGAUGAGGGACAGGAGACAGUUCCUCAGACUGAAAAAAAAAAAAGCCUCAGGGUCCUGUAAUAAAUCUCCUAUUUUAGCUGCAAACUAAAGAGGUUUUCUACACCACCUCUGUGCAGUAUCAUAGCUUCUGCAAUGCUAAUGACAAUACAGGACUUGUUUAUGAUCAGGAAAGAAUUAUCACAAUCCAAAUCGGGGAAGAAUAGAUCAGUGAGGGGCACCUGUAGCUUGAUUUCUGAAAGCAAAGCAGCAGGAAGAUGGUGAACAGUGUCAAAGAUCAGUGCUGCAGGAAAAGCAGGAGCACGGGAACUCACACAGACUCCUGCUUUGUUUACCAGGUUUGUAGUCCGGGUGGCACAAAGGGCAGAUCAAGUCUAUGAAAUUUCUGUCAGCAAAUGCACCACAUAUCCAUGCAGUAUCAAACAUUAUGUUCUUUAAAGAAAGAAAUAUCAUCCCAGAGUUGUAAACCCUUGGGAUACUAUGGGAUGGCACAUGCAAGAGACAGGGCCAGUGUAAUGUUCUUCCUCAUGCAGGGAACCGCUUGUGAAUUUCUGAGGAAUAAAGCUGAGUCUGGCCCCUGCCCCUCAGGCUGCCAGAGACAAGUCCAGGCCAUGACAGACAUUUCCCAAAGUCUGUGUCCAGGGGACACUUGGCCUGGCCUCUGUCUAAGGAAGGUGUCAGCCAGGACCUUAAGCCCUGGAGAGAGAUUAAAAUGUCUUGAUAUUGUGCAUCUUGGCAGAGAUGACUCAUGGAAAAGCCUUGUAGCUCUAAAGGAAAGCCUGUCCUCCAGCCCCCAUUUCAAGGAUGCAAUUACCAGCCAGUGGCAUCUGUUCUACCCCUGGCUUUGAUGAGCCUCAGGAGGAACAACUGCUUCCUCUGCAGUAACUCCCAAAAGCUUACAGACAGAAACUUGUCAUCUUUUCACACACAUUAAUACCUGGGGGACUUGAGCUACUCCAAAUUGCUCUGGUUUGUCAUGGCUCUUUGGUGCAAGGUAUUGGUACAACUCAGCUCUGAGGUCAGUCAGCAGAUGGGGUCAGAAAAACAAAGGGUGAAUAUGGAGAGCUUCAAAGUCUGCUGCGUGGAGGCCAGGAGCCAAUUUCUCUCCAACUGAGGAAGACCAGAGCAGGCAAACAAGAAGUAGGCAGGAUCAGCUGCAAGCUGCUGCCUGCCACCAGCAGUUCCAGCCAUUUGUCAAUUUUGUGAUGCCAUCAGCUGGGAAAAGCCUGAAAUGCAGCUUUGGAUUACUGCAGUGAUCAUCAAGCACAUUUACUGAAGGGACAUUGUCCUUGUCCCCGGGGAUUUAGUUCCUGUCUAUUCCUUUUGAAAAAUGCCUUCAGAAGUGGAGAUGUUUUCUUAAGCCUGGAGAAGCCAGUUUGCCUACAGAGGUCAGGGAGUUAUUCUCACUUCCUAUCUGCAGUAUAUAAAUACUGGCUUUCAAUGAACUCAGAAUCAGUAAUUGCCUCUGUGUAUUCCUACACCCACUUACUGUUUCAGAGCAUCUUUUGAAGGUGUUCCUCAUUAGGAACAAUCCAUAAAAAUGUAUGGAUGAGAA